rnacentral:rRNA from 1 species
AUAUAGAUUAAGUUAUUAAGGGCGCACGGUGGAUGCCUUGGCACUAGAAGCCGACGAAGGACGUUACUAACGACGAUAUGCUUUGGGGAGCUGUAAGUAAGCUUUGAUCCAGAGAUUUCCGAAUGGGGAAACCCAGCACGAGUUAUGUCGUGUUAUCUGCAUGUGAAUACAUAGCAUGCAAGAAGGCAGACCCGGAGAACUGAAACAUCUUAGUACCCGGAGGAAGAGAAAGAAAAAUCGAUUCCCUGAGUAGCGGCGAGCGAAACGGGAAGAGCCCAAACCAAUAAGCUUGCUUAUUGGGGUUGUAGGACACUCUGUACGGAGUUACAAAAGAAUU